rnacentral:rRNA from 1 species
AGGCCUAACACAUGCAAGUCGAGCGGAAGAGAGAAGCUUGCUCCUCUAGACAGCGGCGGACGGGUGAGUAAUGCCUAGGAAUCUGCCUGGUAGUGGGGGAUAACGUUCGGAAACGGACGCUAAUACCGCAUACGUCCUACGGGAGAAAGCAGGGGACCUUCGGGCCUUGCGCUAUCAGAUGAGCCUAGGUCGGAUUAGCUAGUUGGUGAGGUAAUGGCUCACCAAGGCGACGAUCCGUAACUGGUCUGAGAGGAUGAUCAGUCACACUGGAACUGAGACACGGUCCAG